rnacentral:rRNA from 1 species
UCGGUAAUUCCAGCUCCAAUGGCGUAUAUUAAAGUUGUUGCAGUUAAAAUGCUCGUAGUCGGCUCUUCACCUUUGAGUAUCCAUUGUGCUAUUGCCUGUGGUGCAUAGAAGGAGUUAGAAGUUGUCACCUUUGGUGGCUGGCUUUUAUUGUUACUUUGAGUGAAUCGUAGUGCUUCGCACAGGCAUAUGCCAUACACGAUCUACCAUGGAAUAUCCAUAAUCUAAAUGCGUUUGUUUUGGUUUCGCCGACGCUUUUUAUACAUAUAUGAACGGCUGAGGGUAUUUAUAUUCAACUGUUAGAGGUGAAAUUCUUUGAUUAGUUGAGGAUAAGCUAUUGCGAAAGCAUCUGCCAGAGACGUUUUGGUUGAUCAAGAACGAAAGUUAGGUGAUCGAAGAUGAUUAGAUACCGUUGUAGUCCUAACUAUAAACGAUGUUGCCUGAAUGUAGGACAGGUAUUAACAUACUUCUUCUGGAUUCCAUGAGAAAUCGUAAGGUUUUGAAUUCUGGGGGGAGUAUAGUUGCAAGGCCGAAACUUAAAGGAAUUGACGGAAGGGCACCACAAAGCGCGGAGCUUGCGGCUUAAUUUGACUCAACACUGAGAAUCUUACUUGGAUAAGACAUAAAAGGGAUUGACGGAUUGAUUGCUCUUUCUUGAUUGUAUGGGUGGUGGUGCAUGGCCGUUCUUAGUUCGUGGAAUAAUUUGUCUGGUUAAUUCCGUUAACGAACGAGACUUUAACUCACUAAUUUGCAUCCUGUACCAUGUGUGCAUGUGCUAAUUAGAAGGACUGCAUAUUCCAAAUAUGAGGAAGCGUGAAGCAAUAACAGGUCUGUGAUGCCCUUAGAUAUCCAAGGCAGCACGCGUCCUACAUUGGUAUGCGAAACGUGUUUUUGCCGUCUGUCAUGACCGUGAAACCAUUAAUGCGUAUCAAACCAGGAAUUGUUCACUGUAAUGUUGUACAUGAACAAGGAGUGCUUAGUAAUCGCGUAUCAUCAGUGCGCGGUGACUAUGUCCCUGCCCUUUGUACACACCGUCCGUCGCAUCUAUUGAUCAGAGUGCAUCAUGAAUUGGGUGGAAUUGUUGUGUAGGAUGCAAAUCCUUUCACUAUCGGUGAAGCCUUGUGAAUGGUGCUCUCCAAAAACAGAUAAAGUCGUAGCACGGUUUUCGUAGGUGAACCUGCAGAAGGAUCAA